rnacentral:rRNA from 1 species
UUCCGGUUGAUCCCGCCGGAGGCCAUUGCUAUCGGUGUCCGAUUUAGCCAUGCGAGUCGCACGUUCAACGUGGCGAACGGCUCAGUAACACGUGGUCAAACUACCCUACGGACCGUGAUAACCUCGGGAAACUGAGGCUAAUAACGGAUGUCGCUCCCGAGCUGGGAUGCUGGGAGCGAUAAAGCUCCGGCGCCGUAGGAUGUGACUGCGGCCGAUUAGGUAGACGGUGGGGUAAUGGCCCACCGUGCCGAUAAUCGGUACGGGUUGUGAGAGCAAGAACCCGGAGACGGACUCUGAGACAAGAGUCCGGGCCCUACGGGGCGCAGCAGGCGCGAAACCUUUACACUGCACGCAAGUGCGAUAGGGGGACACCGAGUGCGAGGGCAUAGAGCCCUCGCUUUUGUGCAUCGUAAGGUGGUACAUGAAUAAGGGCUGGGCAAGACCGGUGCCAGCCGCCGCGGUAACACCGGCAGCCCGAGUGAUGGCCGCUUUUAUUGGGCCUAAAGCGUCCGUAGCCGGCCGUUCAGGUCCGUCGGGAAAUCCACUGGCUCAACCAGUGGGCGUCCGGCGGAAACCGAUCGGCUUGGGACAGGGAGACCAGAGGGGUACGUCCGGGGUAGGAGUGAAAUCCUGUAAUCCUGGACGGACCACCGGUGGCGAAAGCGCCUCUGGAGAACUGAUCCGACGGUGAGGGACGAAAGCUGGGGUCUCGAACCGGAUUAGAUACCCGGGUAGUCCCAGCUGUAAACAAUGCUCGCUAGGUGUGUCGCANGCUACGAGCCUGCGAUGUGCCGUAGGGAAGCCGAGAAGCGAGCCGCCUGGGUAGUACGUCCGCAAGGAUGAAACUUAAAGGAAUUGGCGGGGG